rnacentral:misc_RNA from 1 species
UGUUCGAGCGUCAUAAUGACCAAAUCACCCCCGUGGUGGACUUGGAGUUGGCCGGCCUGGCCUCUCUUAAAAUCAGUGGCGGUGCUCUUAAGCUCUACGCGUAGUAAUUUUCUCGCGACAGGGUCUCGAUUGUACUUGCCAACAACCCCAACUAUUAUAAGGUUGACCUCGGAUCAGGUAGGGAUACCCGCUGAACUUAA